rnacentral:rRNA from 1 species
AUGUUCUCAUUCACGUCAAUGGGAGGAACUGUUGACAAAGAAAUAAACAAAGGCAAAGGACCAUAUGUUUUUAGACUGCAUGGCCAGAACUACCACCAUAUUGGAACUCUUCUACCCGAAGAAGGUAACAAACCUCGAUUUGCCCAGCUGUACAUCUAUCAGACAAAAAAUGAGGUGCAAAACAGGAUAGAUGCUUCAAGAUGCAAUGAUAAAAAAACAACGGUGGACCCUGCCGUUGUCAAGGAACUACAAGAAAUGCUUGAUGAGAACAACAUCCUUGCAAAGUCAUUCAGAAUGGCAAGAGAUAGAUUCAAAGAAGAAGACUACCACGAUUACACGCUUCGAAUACUUGGGAAAAGGAACGCAACACACAACCUUCCAUCUGCAUCAGAAGUUGCGGCAUUAGUUGAAAGAGACCCUACUGGAGAGAGCGAAGGACGAGACAUUGUUGUCGAGUACAAAGAUAUGGAACCUCACAGAAUAUCGGAAAUCCAUCCGAAAUUAAUGUCAAUGCAAUACCCGUUGUUGUUUCCAUACGGAGAAGAUGGAUUCAAGCUUGAAAUACCUUACAAGCGAACAAAAGAAGGUGACAAAAGCAGGAAAUAUGUAACUAUGCUAGAAUACUAUGCAUACUACCUACAGCAAAGACCCGACCAAGGAAUGUCAUUGCUAAUGUCUAGACAUCUAUCGCUUCAAUUUUGGGUGGAUGUUUACACAUGCAUUGAGCAAAACAGACUAAACUGGAUCAGGAAUAAUCAAGGGAAGCUACGAACUGAACUUUACAGUGGACUGCAGGACGCGAUUGAGCGAGGGGACACCAGAACAGAGCAAGUCGGAAAGAGGAUAAUUGUACCUUCAUCUUAUACAGGAGGUAGAAGAAACAAGGCACAAAACUUGCAAGACGCAUUUGCAAUAUGCCGGUGGGCUGGAUAUCCAGACCUAUUUAUAACAUUCACAUGCAAUGCAAAGUGGCCUGAGAUCCAAUACAUGCUAGAUGAAGCAGGAGGAGGCCUCAAGCCAGCCGACCGACCAGAUAUUGUUGACUGA